GUGGGGGUCUAUGCGGGAGCCGGGAGCUGGGCCCGGGCUGCCGACGUGUUGCGUGGACGCUGCCAGCAUGAACACGGACCAAGCCCUUCUCCCAGCCUGAGGAUCCAGAGGUGAACAUGGGAGACGUGGUUCUGUCCUCAGAUCAUCCGUCAGAAUGUGCCUUAUCACAGUCUCAGCAAGGGAGUGAGCUCCCCGUCUUGGGAGGUGGCUCCGCUGCUCCAGGCCUCGGUCUGGUCUGUCUUUGGAACCCGCGUGACUGGCCACAGUGCCGCAGGGAGCAGCCUUUGGUGGUUUUCCGGGACCCUGGACAAUUCUCCCAAGACCUCAAUCUUCCCAAGUCCUGGGAUGGAGCCUCUCGUGGAUGGACGGCAAGCCUCCUGGUCGAUGGUCAGCAAAACCAGGACCUGGCUAGGAAGGCCAGCAGCCCACUGUCCCCUUCUG